ACUGACCUGCACCCACUGUCUGGCGAGAUGAACCCGGUACCUCAGAUGGAAAUGCAGAAAUCACCGUCUUCUGCGUCGCUCACGCUGGGAGCUGUAGACCGGAGCUGUUCCUAUUCGGCCAUCUUGGCUCCUCUCCUCAGCGCGGCCAGCCCCCCAACUAUGAGAUGCUCAAGGAGGAGCAUGAGGUGGCUGUGCUGGGGGUGGCCUACAACCCUGCUCCCCCGACGUCCACCGUGAUCCACAUCCGCAACGAGACCUCCGUGCCCGACCAUGUUGUCUGGUCCCUGUUCAACACUCUCUUCAUGAACCCCUGCUGCCUGGGCUUCAUAGCAUUCGCUUACUCCGUGAAGUCUAGGCACAGGAAGAUGGUUGGCGACCUGACUGGCGCCCAGGCCUAUGCCUCCACCGCCAAGUGCCUGAACAUCUGGGCCCUGAUUUUGGGCAUCUUCAUGACCAUUCUGCUCAUCAUCAUCCCAGUGUUGAUCUUCCAAGCCUAUCAAUAGAUCAGGAGGCAUCAUUGAGGCCAGGAGCUCUGCCCAUGACCUGUAUCCCAUGUACUCCACCUUCCAUUCCUCACCCUGCCCCCGGAGCCGAGUCCUGUGUCAGCCCUUUAUCCUCACACACUUUUCUACAACGGCAUUCAAUAAAGUGCACGUGUUUCUGGUAAAAAAUAAAUAAAUAAAUAAAUAAAUAAAUAAAUAAAAAUAUACAGUAUUACACACUUACCCUUAUAUGAUAUCCACAUUUCCAAAAAUAUUCAGUUGCAUCCUCCUCUUUGCUCACUCAUGUUUAAGUUUUUCCUAUAGCAAAUUAAAAGGGAAAGAUACAGGAAAAGAGAGAAAGAGGGAGUGCGAGCAAGUGAGCAAAUCAAAUGAAAAACUGUUGGAUAAGUUUCUGCUAUCCUAGAUGAUGUAAUAAAACCCGGAGGUGAGUCACAGGGCUUAGGUUUAACCUAUUUCCUUCAUACGUGAUAUAAUUAUUGGUGUUUUUUUCUUUUUCUUUCUUUUUUUUUUUUUUUUACCAAUUUCUGCCCAGUAGCAUAGACGAAAAGACUAAAGAAAGUGGUGACUCCUGAAUCUCAAUAGAGUACUGGCACCACUUCCCUACGAAUUACUAAAAAAGAAUGAGAAGAGAAUCAGAGAGAAGGUAUAAAUUUGAAAUUUUGCCCUUUAUGUCAUGGUGAUGUGACAACUAAUAUCUCUGCACAAAUCAGCAUCUGAGACUUUAAGUAAACAGACCAAUAUCUUUAUGGGAAGGAGAGGAAAAUCAUUUUUCCUGCUUAGUCAAAUGACAAAUAAAUGUAGCUAAUUUAUAAUUCAUCCAUGAUACAAAUUUACAGACCUUUGGCUCUGAAAAAAUGUGCUUUUUACAUUUCCAUAGUGAUAGUUAACCUCAGAACACUCUAUGAUGGUAAUGUGAUAUUUUUUGAGUAAUGUAACAUGAAAAAUACAUUUUUUUGGUCAAUAGUCUUCAAAGAUAGUAUUCUUUACCUAAUAGUGCUGCUUCUUUUUGCUUGUAUCUUGGCCUUGGAGCAUCAGAAUUUAUGUAAAAUUGUCACGUUUCACCAUUACCUUCAUUUGUGCUUAAGUGCACACACACACACACAUUCACGAAAGAUUGUGUUACUUUUCUUGCCAAAAUAAGAAUGACAUCUUUGUUGAAUUUUUCUUUAUAAAGUUAAAAUUGCAUUGCAAUAGAUACUGUUCCUAAAUAUGGCUUGCAUUUUUCCACGGGUCUUUUCUUUCAAUUAAGGAAACAUUGCUAUAAGAUGAAAAUAUAAGAUGCCCAGCCUAAAAUCAUGUAUUUACAUUAUAUAUGCUUUAUGUAUCUCCAAACUUUUUAGUUAUUAAAAAAUUAAUGUUCUUUUACAUAGUGAAUGGACACAGAGAUAUUCAUAGGAACAUUAUUUAGAUUAGCUAAGCAAACUUCUGAAAGAAAAUUGAAAACCAUGUUAAUGUAUAAUCAUGGAAAAUUGAUUAAAUGAUGCAAUUUGUGGCUUAUUCAUAAACAGGCUCAUAAAGUCAUUUUAAAAUACAUUUAAAAUGUUAUUAUUAGAACUGUUUACACUUUAUAUUAAGUUAAAAAUUAGGAUACCAAAUUAUAUGUGCAAAAUACUCUCGGUCAUGUAAAAUAUUGUGCAUAUAGACAGAAAUUUGCCAAAAGUCAGUUAGUUGCGGUCACUGAGUGUGGUUGUUUAGAUGGAUUUAAUUUUUAAAAUACAUUUUUUCAGCAUUUUGUAAUGUGCAUAUUUUGUUCUCAUAAUCAACUCUUUCUAAACUGCAUCUUUUAAGCAUAUUUUAAAAAGCAAUUUAACUGUACAGUUUUUACAAAAUGUUACAAGUUAAAUGAUUAAGCACUUAUAAUUUUGAGAAGUUUGUACUGUAGAACACUCUGAUAAUUUUGUCAAAUUAAGCUCUGUAUUAGCAGAAAAGGGUGAAAGUGCAAAAACUUUCAUAAGGAUGAUUUUAAUUUCUACGACAUUUUAUGCUAUGUUCUGACAUGUUGUAUUUCAGUCUUCCAUUUUGAUGAAACACUCUGUUGUUCUUUGCUUUUUCAUGUAAUCUCACCAGAAAAAUAAAAAAUAGUAUAGCCUCUUUUUUUUAAAUCACACUUGAUGUAUAUAUUUGUCAGAUGUAGAAUUGUAAGUGCUUUAACUCUCUCCUAUUAACCACUCUGAAAUCCACUGCAUCCAGGAAUUAGGUUCAGGUAAUAGCCUGCUGACACCUAAGGUAAAAUUCAGUCAUUGUGUAUGCAUGUCAAAAUCUAUUAAAGCAAUUGAAUGAAGAGCUUACACUACAAAGCUUAAUUAAACACAUAGAUUUUCAC
rnacentral:lncRNA from 1 species